rnacentral:misc_RNA from 1 species
GAUGAAGAACGUAGCGAAAUGCGAUAAGUAAUGCGAAUUGCAGAAUUCCGUGAGUCAUCGAAUCUUUGAACGCACAUUGCGCCCUCUGGUAUUCCGGAGGGCAUGCCUGUUCGAGCGUCAUCGUCAACCGUCAAGCUCGGCUUGCUGUUGGGUCUCCGUCGCUGCUCCAGCGGCGGACCCGAAAGAUAAAUGGCAGAGUCUGUGAGACCCUGGAUGCAGCGAGCUUCUAGCACGCGUCUGGACGGUCUUUGGGCUUGGUCUCAACCAGUUGUCAACCUCUGAUUGACCUCGGAUCAGGUAGGGAUACCCGCUGAACUUAAGCAUAUCAAUAAGCGGAGGAU